UCUAGUUGAUCUUGCCAAUAGUCACAUGCUUGUCUCAAAGAUUAAGCCAUGCAAGUGUAAGUAUGAACUAAUUCAUACUGUGAAACUAUAAAUGGCUCAUUAAAUCGGUUAUAGUUUUUUUGAUGGUAUCUACUACUCGGAUAACUAUAGUAAUUCUAAAUCUAAUAUGUGCAACAAACCCUAACUUUUGGAAGGGAUGCAUUUAUUAGAUAAAAGGUCAAUGCGGGCAUUAUCUAUUGCCUCGAGGAUUCAUGAUAACUUGAUAGAUCUCAUAGCCUUUGUGUUGGUGAUGCGUCAUUCAAAAUUUUGCCCUAUCAAAUUUCAAUGGUAGGAUAGUGGCCUACUAUGGUGGUGAUGGGUAAUGGAGAAUUAAGGUUCGAUUCCAAAAAGAAAUCUUAAGAAAUAGUUAUCAUAUCUAAGGAAGGCAGCAGGCACGCAAAUUACCAAAUCCUGACACAGGGAGGUAGUGACAAUAAAUAAUAAUACAAGGUUUAUGAGUCUGGUAAUUGGAAUGAGUAUACAAUCUAAAUCCCUUAAUGAGGAUCCAUUGGAGGGCAAGUUUGGUGCCUACAACCAUGGUAAUUCUAGCUCCAAUAGCAUAUAUUUAAGUUGUUGUAGUUAAAAGCUUGUAAUUGGAAUGAGGGUUGAGACGUUUGGUGUACCUCAUGGUAGGCAUCGGUCUACUCAUCCUUAUUGUUGAUGAUGCACUUCUAGCCUUAACUGGCCAGGUCAUUCCUUUUCCGUUAUUACUUUAAAGAAAUUAGAAUGCUCAAAGUAGACCUAUGCUUGUGCACAUUAGCAUGGAAUAACAUCAUAGAAUUUUGGUCUUAUUAUGUUGGCCUUCAGGAUUAAAGUAAUGAUUAACAGGGAUAGUUGAGGCAUUCAUUUUUCAUAGUCAGAGAUGAAAUUCUUGAUUCUAUGAAAGAUGAACAACUACAAAGUAGUUGCUAAUGAUGCUUUCAUUAAUCAGAAAUGAAAGUUGGGGGCCCAAAGACGAUCAAAGUCCUAUCUUAGUCUUAACCAUAAAUGAUGCCAAUCAGGGAUCAACAGAUGUUACUUUUAGGACUCCAUCGGAACCUUAUCAUAAAUCAAAGUCUUUGGGUUCCAAGGGGAGAGUGGUCGCAAGGCUAAAAUUUAAAAGAAUUGAUGGAAAGGCACCACAAAGAGUGGAGCUUGUUACUUUAUUUGACUCCACAUAGAAGGAUUGACAAAUUGAUAGUUCUUUCUUGAUUCUAUGGAUGGUGGUGCAUGGCCAUUCUUAGUUGGCAAAGUGAUUUGUCUAGUUAAUUCAAUUAACGAAUGAGACCUUAGCCUACUAACUAGCUACACGAAGGUGAUCCUUCUGGUAGCUUCUUAGAGGGACUAUGGCUAUUUAGGCUAAGGAAGUUUAAGGUAAUAACAGGUCUAUAAUGCCCUUAGAUGUUUUGGGCCACACAUACACUACAUUGAUGUAUUCAACGAGUUUAUAGCCAUGGCUAAUAGGGUUGAGUAAUCUUUCAAAUUUCAUCGUGAUAAGGAUAGGUCACUGCAAUUAUUGGUUGAUUACAUCCUUGCCCUUUGUACACAUCACCCAUCACUCCUAUCGAUUGAAUGGUCUAAUGAAAUGUUUAGAUUAUGGCAACAUGGAUGGCUUACUGCCCAUAAUGUCAUGAGAAGUCCACUGAAUCUUAUCUCCUUCAUGGUGCAUGCAUGGGCACCACUGUGACUUUUUUUUACAUGAAAAAU
rnacentral:rRNA from 1 species